CAGCAGCCGCGGUAAUACAGAGGAGCCAAGCGUUGUCCGGAUUGACUGGGCGUAAAGCGCACGCAGGCGGAUGCGCGCGUGGGGUGUGAAAUCUGGCCGCUUAACGGCCAGGCGCCAUCCCAUACGGCGCGUCUGGAGUGAUGCAGAGGUCGGUGGAAUUGCCGGUGUAGUGGUGAAAUGCGUAGAGAUCGGCAGGAACACCCAGGGGGAAACCAGCCGACUGGGCAUCUACUGACGCUGAGGUGCGAGAGCGUGGGGAGCGAACCGGAUUAGAUACCCGGGUAGUCCACGCCGUAAACGAUGGCCACUCGGCCUUUGGUGGCGGAAUCUCCGUCGCUGGGGGCCUUAGCUAACGCGGGAAGUGGCCCGCCUGGGAACUACGAGCGCAAGCUUAAAACUCAAAUGAAUUGACGG
rnacentral:rRNA from 1 species